CAGAUCUCCAGCCUUAUCGGGAAGCAGAUGAGCCAGGAGUUCAGUGCAGUGAACUGGGAGGCUGAAAGUCACCUCCAUGCUGGCACCUGGCCCACAGCAUUGGGCUGGAAGUGUUUUCAGGUCCCACGAUGGGAGAGCCGUAGAGCACAGGGGAGGCUGCAGACAGAGGGAGACUUUUCAGAACACGUCUCCAGAUGCCUUCUUCUUUCAUGUGUUCAUUAAAUGUACUUACUCUUUGACUUGCACUUAAAGACUUACGUGUUAAAUAGUUUUUGAUUUAUGUAUAUGUAUAAUCUAUGCCUUCAAUAUCUGUCCAUAAUUUCAUUCUCUGUCUUGAAUUCCAAGCUCCUAGAAAGUGCAGACUCUGCACUACAUGAGUAAUAUUGCUUUGUAAAAUGCUUGGCAUGUUGCCACCUGGUACUUUGAGAUGUUAACAGUGGUAAUAAAGUUCAAAUCC